rnacentral:rRNA from 1 species
GACGAACGCUGGCGGUGUGCCUAAUACAUGCAAGUAGAACGCUGAAGGAGGAGCUUGCUUCUCCGGAUGAGUUGCGAACGGGUGAGUAACGCGUAGGUAACCUGCCUGGUAGCGGGGGAUAACUAUUGGAAACGAUAGCUAAUACCGCAUAAGAGUAGAUGUCGCAUGACAUUUGCUUAAAAGGUGCAACUGCACCACUACCAGAUGGACCUGCGUUGUAUUAGCUAGUUGGUGAGGUAACGGCUCACCAAGGCAACGAUACAUAGCCGACCUGAGAGGGUGAUCGGCCACACUGGGACUGAGACACGGCCCAGACUCCUACGGGAGGCAGCAGUAGGGAAUCUUCGGCAAUGGACGGAAGUCUGACCGAGCAACGCCGCGUGAGUGAAGAAGGUUUUCGGAUCGUAAAGCUCUGUUGUAAGAGAAGAACGAGUGUGAGAGUGGAAAGUUCACACUGUGACGGUAUCUUACCAGAAAGGGACGGCUAACUACGUG